CGAUUGAACGCUGGCGGAAUGCUUUACACAUGCAAGUCGAACGGCAGCACGGGGCAACCUGGUGGCGAGUGGCGAACGGGUGAGUAAUACAUCGGAACGUGCCCAAUCGUGGGGGAUAACGUAGCGAAAGUUACGCUAAUACCGCAUACGAUCUACGGAUGAAAGCGGGGGAUCGCAAGACCUCGCGCGAAUGGAGCGGCCGAUGUCAGAUUAGGUAGUUGGUGGGGUAAAGGCUCACCAAGCCAACGAUCUGUAGCUGGUCUGAGAGGACGACCAGCCACACUGGAACUGAGACACGGUCCAGACUCCUACGGGAGGCAGCAGUGGGGAAUUUUGGACAAUGGGCGCAAGCCUGAUCCAGCCAUGCCGCGUGAGUGAAGAAGGCCCUCGGGUUGUAAAGCUCUUUUGUCCGGAAAGAAAAGCGCCGGGUUAAUACCCUGGUGUCCUGACGGUACCGGAAGAAUAAGCACCGGCUAACUUCGUG
rnacentral:rRNA from 1 species